GACGAACGCUGGCGGCGUGCUUAACACAUGCAAGUCGAACGGAAAGGCCCUGCUUUUGUGGGGUGCUCGAGUGGCGAACGGGUAAGUAACACGUGAGUAACCUGCCCUUGACUUUGGGAUAACUUCAGGAAACUGGGGCUAAUACCGGAUAGGAGCUCCUGCUGCAUGGUGGGGGUUGGAAAGUUUCGGCGGUUGGGGAUGGACUCGCGGCUUAUCAGCUUGGUGGUGGGGUAGUGGCUUACCAAGGCUUUGACAGGUAGCCGGCCUGAGAGGGUGACCGGCCACCUUGGGUCUGAGAUACGGCCCAGGCUCCUACGGGAGGCAGCAGUGGGGAAUACUGCACAAUGGGCGGAAGCCUGAUGAAGCAACGCCGCGUGUGGUAUGACGGUCUUCGGGUUGUAGACCGCUUUCGCCUGUGACGAAGCGGGAGUGACGGUAAUGGGUAAAGAAGCACCGGCUAACUACGUG
rnacentral:rRNA from 1 species